ensembl:lncRNA
GCCUGCGCCCGCGCCCGCCCCUGCCCCCGGCCCGAGGCUCCGCCCCUCGCCCGAGGCCCCGCCUUCCUCCCGCGCGCGCCGCACCCCGGGUACCCGGCCUCCUCCCGAGGCUCCGGCCUGCGCACGCGCGCCCACCCGAGGCUCCUCCCCUGCCCCCGCCGCUGGCCCCGCCUCUAGACCACGCCCCCGUCCCGAGACCCCUCCCGGUCCGCCUCCUCGGGGCCGAGCAGGUUUCGGUUUCUCAAGGGUGGUGCAGGUCCCCGGGGUGGCGGACUCGACCUGGCCUGCAGCCAGGCUACCGCAAGAAAGCCCAAGGUCGUGUCCGGCCACUGAAGGGCAGGGUGGUCCUUGCUGACGCCAACCUGGAAGAUCAGACCCGGCCCCAGCUUGCCAGAGAGGGCCCUGUCCUUGGCGAAAGGCCACAAAAGCUAUUUGAAUUCAUUUACUUCUGCGUUCAGAACCUUUACAUAUUGCAUGUCGUGUAUAUUCAGUCACUGAACAAAUCUCCGUUAGGGGCGCUGUUCUGUGCUGGGAACACACAGGGCAAUGAAGAGCAGCAGGAAAGCCUCAACCUCUGGAAGCUUCCACUCUCGUGAAUCAGCACCACUUCAUCAUCUGUGAGCUGGUUGAGUGGGGCAGUGGGGGUGCCCAGCUUCCUGAAGGUGCAAGCUGGAGGGUCUCAGGAGAAAGGCAAGACUGAUGCCCACCCUGACCCUGUGUGCUACAGAAACAACAGACAGCCCACCCGCAUCUGCUAGAAGGCGUGAAGGAAGGAAGGGCCAAGGAUGAGAUGUGGAGGGACUCGGGUCCAUGGGGUAGGUAUUGCUGAGGCCAUCAGAACACCAGACACCAGGACAUCAUCUACAGCCUCCCCUCCACCAAGGGGAGAAUUGUCAGCCAUUGCCUGAUGUCAUUCCCCUCCGCCAAGGCCAGAAUGCUGCCUAUUGCCAGAGGUGGGGACGGGAGGGACACUGAGGACUGAGAUGUCUGGGGACAACGCUGGCUUCACGAAAGAGAGACGAGGCCAGGUGCGGUGGCUCACGCCUGUAAUCCCAGCACUUUGGGAGGCUGAGGCGGGCGGAUCACGAGGUCAGGAGUUCAAGACCAGCCUGGCCUAUAUGGCGAAACUCCGUCUCUAUUAAAAGUACGAAAAUUAGCCGGGCGUGAUGGCACGCACCUGUAGUCCCAGCUACUUGGGAGGCUGAGGCAGAACAAUCACUUGAACCCGGGAGGCGGAGGUUGCAGUGAGCCGAGAUUGCGCCAUUGCACUCUAGCCUGAGCAACAAGAGUGAAACUCGGUCCCAAAAAAAAAAAAAAGAGAUGAGGUUUAGCUGGGCAUGCCAGCCUUCACUUGCCCAAUCACUGUCUAAGUGAUUUGUACGCCCUGAGACCAAGCGAAAGGGAUGAUCUAGAGUUAGCAGCUUUUCUAGAAGCCAGCCUCUGACCCCUCCCACCCAGGAAGAGUAGGCUGAACAGUGGUUAGACAGGCCUUUAAUUCAGGUCUCUUCAAAAAGUGAAUAAAUAGAAGACAGAGGACUCAGCAGCUCUGCCAGGGAGCAAGCCUCCUGGACUUGCUAAUUUUGCAGCAUAGACCUUGCAGAGAGGGUGGAGCCUGGUGAAGAAGGGGUGUUAAUCCCCGCAAGAGGCUGCAAAGCGAACUGCUCACACAGGCUUGGAUUGGGGCAUUGUCUUGCUUUGAAAAUCCCCAGAUUUUAUUUUGCUAAAGCUUGCAAUUUCUUCUGUGUGUAAAUGGCACUUAAAAUCUGUUUGUAAUGGAACUUGAUUGUAUCCAGCUGUCACCAACUGUUCC